rnacentral:rRNA from 1 species
UGGGGAAUAUUGCACAAUGGGCGCAAGCCUGAUGCAGCCAUGCCGCGUGUAUGAAGAAGGCCUUCGGGUUGUAAAGUACUUUCAGCGGGGAGGAAGGGAGUAAAGUUAAUACCUUUGCUCAUUGACGUUACCCGCAGAAGAAGCACCGGCUAACUCCGUGCCAGCAGCCGCGGUAAUACGGAGGGUGCAAGCGUUAAUCGGAAUUACUGGGCGUAAAGCGCACGCAGGCGGUUUGUUAAGUCAGAUGUGAAAUCCCCGGGCUCAAACUGGGAACUGCAUCUGAUACUGGCAAGCUUGAGUCUCGGAGAGGGAGGUAGGAUUCCAGGUGUAGCGGUGAAAUGCGUAGAGAUCUGGAGGGAUACAGGUGACGAAGGCGGCCCCCUGGACGAAGACUGACGCUCAGGUGCGAAAGCGUGGGGAGCAAACAGG